rfam:Sus scrofa chromosome 2.
UCCCUGGUGGUCUCGUGGUUAGGAUUCAGCACUUGCACUGCUGUGGCCCGGGUUCCAUCCCUGGUCUGGGAA